rnacentral:rRNA from 1 species
GAUGAACGCUGGCGGCGUGCUUAACACAUGCAAGUCGAACGAAGCACCUACCAAGGAUUUCCUCGGAAUGACUGAUAGGUGACUGAGUGGCGGACGGGUGAGUAACGCGUGGGUAACCUACCUCAUACAGGGGGAUAACAGUUAGAAAUGACUGCUAAUACCGCAUAAGCGCACAGUAUUGCAUGAUACAGUGUGAAAAACUCCGGUGGUAUGAGAUGGACCCGCGUCUGAUUAGCUAGUUGGUAAGGUAACGGCUUACCAAGGCGACGAUCAGUAGCCGGCCUGAGAGGGUGAACGGCCGACAUUGGAACUGAGGA